UGUUUAAAUACAGUUUUUAAUUGGUUUUACUUCUUGAAAAACUUUGGUAUCAAAAUGUUUGAUUCAGGGUCCCAAGAGCCGACCGGAACAACUAUAAAAGUCUGUUAUUACCUGUUAAAUGUACGUGUUGAUCACAGGAUGACUGCAUCAGACACUUAUUGUAUUUGCUCUCAUGUAUUAUAUGUGUGACUCUUUGGCUGCUAGCUGCCCAUUAGUACAGUUGUAUAUAUAUUAGUCUGUUUUUAGGAAAUGCUGUGUUAGAUGAAUCAUAUAUAGCUGGAGAAGCCAAAGACACAUUUACAAUGAAGUAAAUCUAAGCUAAUUUAAUGUCUGUCAUUUUAAAAUAAAUAUACUGUAUCGUAUAUAAAUCUGCAUAAGGAAAUCUGUGACAAUGUGUUGUUAUCAGUUUCCAUGUUAUCUGUAAAAUCUUCUAACAGAGACCUAUCUUGGUGAGUUUGUUUGUGUCAAAGUCAGAGAGCCGUGUCUCUCUACAGUGAGAGGUUUUUGUACGGCGGCUCAAUGAGUUUGUAUCACUGUGGUACACGUUCGGUGGAGGAACCAGACUGGAAGUUAACUUGGGUCGAGUCGUCCCCACCCUGACGGUGCUGCCCCCCUCCAGUGAGCAGCUGCAGCAGGGGACGGCCACGCUCAUGUGCCUGGCCAACAAGGGCUUCCCCUCAGACUGGAGUCUGUCCUGGAAGGUGGACGGCAGCAGCAGCAGCAGCAGCUGGGAGCAGAGCAGCAGCCCCGGGCUGCUGGAGAAGGACGGCCACUACAGCUGGAGCAGCACCCUGAGGCUCUCUGCAGACCAGUGGAGGAAGGUGGGCUCUGUGACCUGUGAGGCCACCCAGGGCUCCCAGACUCCGCUCUCAGAGACUCUGAGGAGAGACCAGUGUUCCCAGUCCUGAUCUGACUCACUGCUUUUACUCUGCUACUGCUCUCAGUCUGCUCUCUUUCUCUGGUUCUCUCAUGAUGUUUCAAUAUUAACUUGUUCUUGCUUGUGUUGAUAGUUUUAACAUUUUCAAACAAUAAAGAAUUACAUCGUGUAUUAUAAAAGUGACCAUUGUUUUGAAUUCCUUUCUUUUACACGUGUUAUAUAUUAGGAGCAUGAAUCAGAUUAAUGUGGCAAAGUGACAAUCGUUAGAACUACAUUUUUUCCAGAUACAUUUUUAAUAGUUUUAAGACGUCAGAUGCAGGUGCAGCUAUUUCAAUGGUAAAUCACAAAGCCAUCAGAUUUAACAAAUAUAUACUUUUGAAGAUCUAUUUGUCAAUUUAAUAUGUCAUUAAAUUUGUAUUUUUACCCAAGAUAAUUCAACAUUUAUUUGUAAUCCUAUGAUACAAUAUAAAUGGUGCCCCGUGCGAGGCAUCGUACAGUUGGUAAUAGUUCUGUACACUGUAAUUCUCUCUUUCUCACACAUUAUUGCUUGUGUUAAUGCUUUCAAAAUUUUAAAGCAAUAAAGAUUUUAUUAUGU